GGUGCUAACGUCCGUCGUGAAGAGGGAAACAACCCAGACCGCCAGCUAAGGUCCCAAAGUCAUGGUUAAGUGGGAAACGAUGUGGGAAGGCCCAGACAGCCAGGAUGUUGGCUUAGAAGCAGCCAUCAUUUAAAGAAAGCGUAAUAGCUCACUGGUCGAGUCGGCCUGCGCGGAAGAUGUAACGGGGCUAAACCAUGCACCGAAGCUGCGGCAGCGACACUGUGUGUUGUUGGGUAGGGGAGCGUUCUGUAAGCCUGUGAAGGUGUGUCGUGAGGCAUGCUGGAGGUAUCAGAAGUGCGAAUGCUGACAUAAGUAACGAUAAAGCGGGUGAAAAGCCCGCUCGCCGGAAGACCAAGGGUUCCUGUCCAACGUUAAUCGGGGCAGGGUGAGUCGACCCCUAAGGCGAGGCCGAAAGGCGUAGUCGAUGGGAAACGGGUUAAUAUUCCCGUACUUGGUGUUACUGCGAAGGGGGGACGGAGAAGGCUAUGUUGGCCGGGCGACGGUUGUCCCGGUUUAAGCGUGUAGGUGUGUGUUCCAGGUAAAUCCGGUUCACUUUAACACUGAGGCGUGACGACGAGGCACUACGGUGCUGAAGCAACAAAUGCCCUGCUUCCAGGAAAAGCCUCUAAGCAUCAGGUAACAUCAAAUCGUACCCCAAACCGACACAGGUGGUCAGGUAGAGAAUACCAAGGCGCUUGAGAGAACUCGGGUGAAGGAACUAGGCAAAAUGGUGCCGUAA
rnacentral:rRNA from 1 species